rnacentral:rRNA from 1 species
CGGGUGAGUAACACGUGAGGCAACCUGACCUUAUACACAGGGAUAACAGUUGGAAACGACUGCUAAUACCGGAUAAGACCACACUAUGGCAUCAUAGAGGGGUCAAAGCGAAUAAGCGGUAUAAGGAUGGGCUCGCGUCCAAUUAGCUAGUUGGUGAGGUAACGGCCACCAAGGCGACGAUUGGUAGCCGACUUGAGAGAGUGAUCGGCCACACUGGAACUGAGACACGGUCCAGACUCCUACGGGAGGCAGCAGUGGGGAAUAUUGGGCAAUGGAGGAAACUCUUACCCAAGCAAUGCCGCGUGAGUGAUGAAGGUCUUUGGAUUGUAAAGCUCUUUGAUUGGGGACGAAUAAAUGACGGUACCCAAAGAACAAGCCCCGGCUAACUAUGUGCCAGCCGCCGC